GCUCCUAGUACGAGAGGACCGGAGUGGACGCAUCACUGGUGUUCGGGUUGUCAUGCCAAUGGCACUGCCCGGUAGCUAAAUGCGGAAGAGAUAAGUGCUGAAAGCAUCUAAGCACGAAACUUGCCCCGAGAUGAGUUCUCCCUGAGACUUUAAGUCUCCUGAAGGAACGUURAAGACGAYGACGUUGAUAGGCCGGGUGUGUAAGCGCAGCGAUGCGUUGAGCUAACCGGUACUAAUGAACCGUGAGGCUUAACCUUACAACGCCGAAG
rnacentral:rRNA from 1 species